rnacentral:rRNA from 1 species
UAUGUGAUCGUCUCUCGCAUAUCAAUAAGCGGAGGAAAAGAAACUAACAAGGAUUCCCUUAGUAACGGCGAGUGAAGCGGGAAGAGCUCAAAUUUGAAAUCUUCAAGGUUUUACCUUGACGAAUUGUAGUUUAAAGAAGUGUUUUCUGCUGAAGUUUUGGUAAAAGUUCUUUGGAAUAGGACAUCAUAGAGGGUGAGAAUCCCGUAUUUGACCAUUAUUUUCAGCUUUGUGAUACACUUUCAAAGAGUCGGAUUGUUUGGGAAUGCAGUCCAAAAUGGGUGGUAAAUUUCAUCUAAAGCUAAAUAUUGGCGAGAGACCGAUAGCGAACAAGUACCGUGAGGGAAAGAUGAAAAGAACUUUGAAAAGAGAGUUAAACAGUACGUGAAAUUGUCAAAAGGGAAGCGUUUGACACCAGUGUUGUUUUCUCGAAAAUCAAUUAAAAAUGGCUCGAUUUUGUAUUGCUUGAGACCUUAAAAGCUCACUGUACAUUUUUCGUGUCUUUUUUAAUGCACUUUUCGUUUAACAAGUCAACAUCAGUUUCUUUUGUUGUAAAAGGGUCAUUGGAAGGUGGCUUUCUUUUCGGAGAAAGUGUUUAUAGCCUUUGGCCUCUGCAAUCGGAGAGACUGAGGUCUGCAGCGUAGACUCUUCGGGGUUAGAUACAUUUGUGCUAAGUUAUAGCUUUUUAUAGACAACUUGUUGACUAUAAUUAGUCUUGUAGCUUACUCGCUUAUGCUAUUUUACCUACGCUUAGGAUGUUGACGAUCAGCUGAGCGCG